GGGGAAUAUUGCACAAUGGGGGAAACCCUGAUGCAGCGACGCCGCGUGGAGGAAGAAGGUCUUCGGAUUGUAAACUCCUGUUGUUGGGGAAGAUAAUGACGGUACCCAACAAGGAAGUGACGGCUAACUACGUGCCAGCAGCCGCGGUAAAACGUAGGUCACAAGCGUUGUCCGGAAUUACUGGGUGUAAAGGGAGCGCAGGCGGGAAGACAAGUUGGAAGUGAAAUCUAUGGGCUCAACCCAUAAACUGCUUUCAAAACUGUUUUUCUUGAGUAGUGCAGAGGUAGGCGGAAUUCCCGGUGUAGCGGUGGAAUGCGUAGAUAUCGGGAGGAACACCAGUGGCGAAGGCGGCCUACUGGGCACCAACUGACGCUGAGGCUCGAAAGUGUGGGUAGCAAACAGGAUUAGAUACCCUGGUAGUCCACACCGUAAACGAUGAUUACUAGGUGUUGGAGGAUUGACCCCUUCAGUGCCGCAGUUAACACAAUAAGUAAUCCACCUGGGGAGUACGACCGCAAGGUUGAAACUCAAAGGAAUUGACGGGGGCCCGCACAAGCAGUGGAGUAUGUGGUUUAAUUCGACGCAACGCGAAGAACCUUACCAAGUCUUGACAUCCCUUGACAGGCAUAGAAAUAUGUUUUCUCUUCGGAGCAAGGAGACAGGUGGUGCAUGGUUGUCGUCAGCUCGUGUCGUGAGAUGUUGGGUUAAGUCCCGCAACGAGCGCAACCCUUAUGGUCAGUUACUACGUAAGAGGACUCUGGCCAGACUGCCGUUGACAAAACGGAGGAAGGUGGGGAUGACGUCAAAUCAUCAUGCCCUUUAUGACUUGGGCUACACACGUACUACAAUGGCGUUAAACAAAGAGAAGCAAGACCGCGAGGUGGAGCAAAACUCAGAAACAACGUCCCAGUUCGGACUGCAGGCUGCAACUCGCCUGCACGAAGUCGGAAUUGCUAGUAAUCGUGGAUCAGCAUGCCACGGUGAAUACGUUCCCG
rnacentral:rRNA from 1 species